ACGUAGGGUGCGAGCGUUAAUCGGAAUUACUGGGCGUAAAGCGUGCGCAGGCGGUUUGAUAAGACAGAUGUGAAAUCCCCGGGCUCAACCUGGGAACUGCAUUUGUGACUGUCAGACUAGAGUGUAGCAGAGGGGGGUAGAAUUCCACGUGUAGCAGUGAAAUGCGUAGAGAUGUGGAGGAAUACCGAUGGCGAAGGCAGCCCCCUGGGCUAACACUGACGCUCAUGCACGAAAGCGUGGGGAGCAAACAGGAUUAGAUACCCUGGUAGUCCACGCCCUAAACGAUGUCAACUAGGUGUUGGGGAAGGAGACUUCUUUAGUACCGCAGCUAACGCGUGAAGUUGACCGCCUGGGGAGUACGGCCGCAAGGUUG
rnacentral:rRNA from 1 species